AAGGAUUUACAAUUUUUAAAUAUUGAUGUGGAAUUGGUCUCUAACAAAGUUAAAUGAUGAAGAAGAAUCCAUAUAGUCAACCCCAACUAGAAUUGGACUAAGGCUUAUUUGUUGUUGUGCUGUUGUUUCUUUUUCCUGUUAACAUGGAUGAUUUGUCAGUUCUCACCUGUGUGGGGGUCGUAGUAAGGCGUGAGCCGAAAUAUCAUCCACUAGAAUUAU
rnacentral:misc_RNA from 1 species